UCCUGGCUAGACCUGCGCGCAGUGCGCACCCCGGCUGACGUGCAAGGGAGCUCGCUGGCCUCUCUGUGCCCUUGUUUGUCCGUGAAAUUCUGGCUGAGUCUCUCCCCCCACCUUCCGACGCUGUCUAGGCAAAGCCUGGAGUAGAGUUGCAUCUCCUGGAUGAUCAGUUCAGAGAUAUGUCACAAUGCCCCCUCCCUGUGGAUCCUAGAGAAGAUUUGCACCAUUUGGGUGAUCAGUGCAGAGAUAUGUCACAAUGUCCCCUGUAGAAAAAGCCUGGAAAUGAUUUACAUCACCUCGGUGAUCAGUGCAGAUGUGUGUCAGAUCUCCCUAGUAGGCUGAACCUAGACAAGGGUUACAUCACUUAGGUGAUCAGUGUAGAGAUAUGUGAGAAUUCCCGUGUAGGCAGAGCCUAGACAAGUGUUACAUCACCUAGGUUAUCAGUGUAAGUAUUAGUCAUAAAGCCUCCUGUAGGCAGAGCGUAGACAAGAGUUCCCUCCCCAGGGUGAUCAGUGCAGAGAUGUGUCACAAAGCCCCUGUAGGCAGAGCGUAGACAAGAGUUCCCUCCCCAGGGUGAUCAGUGCAGAGAUGUGUCACAAAGCCCCUGUAGGCAGAGCCUAGACAAGAGUUUCAUCACUUGGUUGAUCAGUUCAGAGAUGUGUCACAAUGUCCAUGUAGGCAGAUCUAAGACAAGGGUCCAUCACCUGGGUGAUCAGUGCAGAGAUAUGUACCAAUGUGCCCUGUAGGCAGUGCCUAGACAAGAGUUGAAUCACCUCAGAGAUCAGUGCAUAGAUAUGUCACAAAGCCUUCUGUAGGCAAAGCCCAUACAAGGUUUACAUCACCUAGGUGAUCAGUGCAGUGAUAUGUCACAAAAAUCCCUGUAGACAGAGCCUAGACAAGAGUUACAUCACCUGGGUGAUCAGUGCAGAUAUUUGACACAAUGCCCCCAUAGACAGAGCCUAGACAAGACUUCCAUCACCUGGGUGAUCAGUGCAGAGAUAUGUCACAAAUCCCCCUCUAGGCAGAGUAUAGAGAAGAGUCCCAUCACCUGGGUGAUCAGUGCAGAGAUAUUUCACAAUGCCCCCUGUAGGCAGAGAGUGGACAAAAGUUACAUAACCUAGAUGAUCUGUGCAGAGCUAUGUCAAAACGCCCCUGUAGGCAGAGCCUAGAUGAGUGUUACAUCACCUGGGUGAUCACUGCAGAGAUACGUCACAAUACCCCCUGUAGGUGGGGCCUAGACAAGAGUUACAUCACCUGGGUGAUCAGUGGAGAUAUCUGUCACAAUUCGCCUUUAGGCGCAGCUUAGACAAGCGUUACAUCACAUGAGUGAUCAGUGCAGAGAUAUGUCACUAUGCCCCCAUAGGCAGAUCCAAGACAAGAGUCCAUCACCUGGGUGAUCAGUGCAGAAAUAUGCCACAAUGCCACCAGUAGACAGAUAUAGACAAGAGUUACAUCACCUGCGUGAUCACUGCAGAGAUAUGUCACAAUGCCCCUGUAGGCAGAGCCUAGACAAGAGUCCCAUCACCUGGGUGAUCAGUGCAGAGUUAUGUCACAAUGCCCCCUUUUGGCAGAGCCUAGACAAGGGUUACAUCACCUGGGUGAUCAGUGCAGAGAUAUGUCACAAUGUCCCUGUAGCCAUAUCCUUGACAAAAGUGACAUCACCUGGGUGAUCAGUGCGGAGAUAUGUCACAAUGUCUCCAGUAGGCAGAGCCUAGACAAGAGUUACAUGACCUAGGUGAUCAGUGCAGAGAUACAUCGCAAUGCCCCUGUAGGCAGAGCCUUGACAAGUGGUACAUCACCUGGGUGAUCAUUGCAGGGAUAUGUCACAAAGCACCCUGUAGGCAGAUCCUAGAGAAGAGUUAUAUCACCUGGGUGAUCAGUGCAGAGAUAUGUCACAAGCCCCCUGUAGGCAGAGCCUAGACAAGAGUUAUAUCACCUGGGUGAUCAGUGCAGUCAUAUGUCACAAUGCUGUGUAGCCAGAGCCUAGACAAAAGUUACAGCACCUGGGAGAUCAGUGCAGAGAUAUGUCACAAUGUCCCCAGUAGGCAGAGACCAGGCAAGAGUUGGAUCACCUCGGGAUCAGUGCAGAGAUAUGUCUCAAUCCCCCUGUGGGCACAGCCUAGACAAGAGUUACAUCACCUCGGUUAACAGUGCAGAGAUAUGUCAAAAUGCCCCUGUAGGCAGAGCCUACACAAGUAUUACAUCACUUAGGUGAUCAGUGCAGAGAUAUGUCACAAUACCCCCUGUAAGCAGAGCCUAGACAAGAGUUACAUCACCUGGGUGAUCAGUGCAGACAUAUGUGACAAGGCCCCUUUAAGCAGAGCCUAGACAAUAGUUACAUCACCUGAGUGAUCAGUGCAGAGAUCUGUCACAAUGCCCCUUUAGGCAGAGCUUAGACCAGAGUUACAUCACCUGGGUGAUCAGUGCAGAGGUAUGUCACAUUGCCCCCAUAGGCAAAUCCAAGACAAGAGUCAGUCACCUGGGUGAUCACUGCAGAAAUAUGUGACAAUGCCCCCAGUAGGCAGAACCUAGAGAAGAGUCCCUUCACCUGGGUGAUCAGUGCAGAGUUAUGCCACAAUGCCCCCUGUAGGCAGAGCCUAGACAAGAGUUACAUCAUCUGGUUGAUCAGUAAAGAGAUAUUUCUCAAUGCCCCUGCAGGCAGAGCGUAAGCAAGAGUUACAUCACCUAGAUGAUCAGUGCAGAGAUACGUCACAAGGCCCCCUAUAGGCAGAGCCUGGACAAGAGUUACAUCACCUCGGUGAUCAAUGCAGUGAUAUGUCACUGUGCCCCGUAGGCAGAGCCUAGUCAAGCGUUACAUCACCUGGGUGAUCAGUGCAGAGAUAUGUCAGAAAGCCCCCAUACACAGAGCCUAGACAAGAGUCCCAUCACCUGGGUGAUCAGUGCAGAAAUAUGUCACAAUGCCCCUAUAGGCAGAUCCAACACAAGUGUUACAUCACCUGGGUGAUCAGUGCAGAAAUAUGUCUCAAUGCCCCCAUAGGCAGAUCCAACACAAGAGUUACAUCACCUGGGUGAUCAGUGUAGAGAUAUGUCACAAUGCCCCCGUAGACAGAGCCUAGACAAAAGUCCCAUCACCUGGGUGAUCAGUGCAGAGAUAUGUCACAAAGCCCCUGUAGGCAGAGCCUAGACAAGAGUUACAUCACUUUGUUGAUCAGUUCAGAGAUGUGUCACAAUGCCCAUGUAGGCAGAGCCUAGACAAGUGUUCCAUCACCUGGGUGAUCAGUGCAGAGAUAUGUGACAAGGCCCCUUUAAGCAGAGCCUAGACAAUAGUUACAUCACCUGAGUGAUCAAUGCAGUGAUAUGUCACUAUGCCCCAGUAGGCAGAGCCUAGUCAAGCGUUACAUCACCUGAGUGAUCAGUGCAGAGAUAUGUCACAAAGCCCCCAUACACAGAGCCUAGACAACAGUCCCAUCCCCUGGGUGAUCAGUGCAGAAAUAUGUCACAAUGCCCCCAUAGGCAGAUCCAACACAAGAGUUACAUCACCUGGGUGAUCAGUGUAGAGAUAUGUCACAAUGCCCCCAUAGGCAGAGCGUAGACAAAAGUCCCAUCACCAGGGUGAUCAGUGCAGAGAUAUGUCACAAAGCCCCCAUAGGCAGAGCCUAGACAAGAGUUACAUCACUUGGUUGAUCAGUUCAGAGAUGUGUCACAAUGCCCAUGUAGGCAGAGCCUACACAAGUGUUACAUCACUUAGGUGAUCAGUGCAGAGCUAUGUCACAAUACCCCCGUAAGCAGAGCCUAGACAAGAGUUACAUCACCUGGUUGAUCAGUGCAGAGAUAUCUCACAAUGUCCCUGCAGGCAGAGUGUAGACAAGAGUUACAUCACCUAGAUGAUCAGUGCAGAGAUAUUUCACAAUGCCCCCUGUAGGCAGAGCCUAGACAAGAAUUAUAUUACCUGGAUGAUCAGUACGGUGAUAUGUCACUAUGCCCCCUGUGGGCGGAGCCUAGACAAGAGUUACAUCACCUGGGUGAUAAGGGCAGAGAUAUGUCACAAUGCUCCAGUAGGCAGAGCCUAGACAAGAGUCCUAUCACCUGGGUGAUCAGUGCAGAAAUAUGUCACAAUGCCCCCAGUAGACAGAGCCUAGACAAGAGUUACAUCACCUGGGUGAUCAGUGCAGAAAUAUGUUGCAAUGCCCCCAUAGGCAGAUCCAACACAAGAGUUACAUCACCUGGGUGAUCAGUGCAGAGAUAUGUAACAAUGCCCCCAGUAGGCAGAGCCUAGAGGAGAGUUACAUCAUCUGGGUGAUCUUUGCAGAGAUAUGUCACAAUCCUCCAAGUAAGCAGAGCCUAGACAAAAGUUACAUCAUCUGGGCGAUCAGUGCAGAGACAAGUCACAAAACCCACAUAGGAAAAGACUAGACAAGAGUUACAUCAUCUGGGUCAUCAGUGCAGACAUAUGUCAAAGCUGCCGUAGGCAGAGUGUAGACAAGUAUUACAUCACUUGGGUGAUCAGUGCAGAGAUCUAUCACAGUGCCCCCAUAGGCAGAGCCUAGACAAGAGUUCCAUCACCUGUGUGAUCAGUGUAGAGAUAUGUCACAAUGCCUCCUGUAGGCAGAGGCUAGACAAGAGUUACAUCACCUGGAUUUUGUUUCCUGCAAUAUGUCACAAUGGCGAGGGUGAGGGUUAGGGUUAGGGUGAGGGUCAGGGUGAGGGUCAGGGUGAGGGUCAGGGUGAGGGUGAGGGUCAGGGUGAGGGUGAGGGUUAGGGUUAGGGUGAGCAUUAGGUUUAGGGUUAGGGUUAGGGUUAGGGGUUAGGCUUAGGCUUAGGGUAAGGCUUAGGGUUCAGGUUCAAGUUUGGAUUCGGGUUCGGGUUCAGGUUAAGAGUUAGGGUUAGGGUUACGGGUUAGGGUUAGGGGUUAGGGUUAGGUGUUAGGGCUGGGUUAGGUUUAGGGUUAGGGUUAUGGGUUACGGUUAGGGUUAGGGUUUAGGGUUAGGGUUAGGGUUAGGAUUGGGGUUAGGUUUAGGGUUAGGGUUAGGGUUAGGUUUAGGGUUGGGUUAGGGUUAGGAUUGGG
rnacentral:lncRNA from 10 species